GACGAACGCUGGCGGCGUGCUUAACACAUGCAAGUCGAACGGAAAGGCCCCCACCUUGGUGGGGGUGCUCGAGUGGCGAACGGGUGAGUAACACGUGGGUGAUCUGCCCUGUACUUCGGGAUAAGCUUGGGAAACUGGGUCUAAUACCGUAUAGGACCAUGGUUUAGUGUCUCAUGGUGGAAAAAUUAUUGUUUUGGUGCAGGAUGAGCUCGCGGCCUAUCAGCUUGUUGGUGGGGUAAUGGCCUACCAAGGCGUCGACGGGUAGCCGGCCUGAGAGGGUGGACGGCCACAUUGGGACUGAGAUACGGCCCAGACUCCUACGGGAGGCAGCAGUGGGGAAUAUGGCACAAUGGGCGCAAGCCUGAUGCAGCGACGCCGCGUGGGGGAUGACGGCCUUCGGGUUGUAAACUCCUUUCGUUAGGGACGAAGCCACACCUUUUUUGGGUGUGGUGACGGUACCUUUGUUAAGAAGCACCGGCUAACUACGUG
rnacentral:rRNA from 1 species